UACGUAGGCAGCAAGCGUUGUUCGGAGUUACUGGGCGUAAAGGGUGUGUAGGCGGUUGUUUAAGUUUGGUGUGAAAUCUCCCGGCUCAACUGGGAGGGUGCGCCGAAUACUGAAUAACUUGGAGUGCGGGAGAGGAAAGUGGAAUUCCUGGUGUAGCGGUGAAAUGCGUAGAUAUCAGGAGGAACACCGGUGGUGUAGACGGCUUUCUGGACCGUAACUGACGCUGAGACACGAAGCGUGGGUAGGCAAACAGG
rnacentral:rRNA from 1 species